ensembl:lncRNA novel transcript
AAUGCAGCCUCUGUGUGGUUUCAAGAAUGGACAUCUGAGUUCUGGCCUGUGUCCAUUUCAACAUAUUCACUGUUUGAAAGUGAAUAUUCAGUUUGAUUCGUUUAAUUUCAGAAGCACUGAGAACUGAACUUAGAACAGAAGAGCACUCUAAAUAGAGAGAAGAGAGGAGAUUGUUGAGGCAGAUGGAAAGCAUCACAAGAGAAGUGUGUGGCCCUCGCCUGUGGAGGUGAAGCUCCAGCAAGGCUCCAUCUUGAGUUUUUUUAAAUUUUGAGUAGUAAAGUGAUUCACUAGAUGGAUUGCUAAAAGCAGUUCCCAUUUUAUGUUUUCUUUCUUUGGUAUUCCCAAAAUGCAAAAAAAGUAUAUCUUAGGGCCGAUAUCCCCUUUUGAAAUUACAUCGUUAGGAUUUCUGCCAUCUUUGGAACCAGGAAAAGAGAUCAUGGGAAGGCAUAUCAGGGACGGAGCCCACGCUUCAGGGCCAUUCUGCUGGGCUUUCCUACAGUGACCUCACCAUCACCACCACCACCGACAACGACAU